GACGGACCACCCAAACGUUAUUCGGAAUCACUGGGCUUAAAGGGUGCGUAGGCGGCGUAGUAAGUCGGGUGUGAAAUCCCCCAGCUUAACUGGGGAAUUGCGCCCGAAACUGUUGCGCUCGAGGGAGACAGAGGUGAGCGGAACUGAUGGUGGAGCGGUGAAAUGCGUUGAUAUCAUCAGGAACACCGGUGGCGAAAGCGGCUCACUGGGUCUCUUCUGACGCUCAGGCACGAAAGCUAGGGGAGCAAACGGG
rnacentral:rRNA from 1 species